GACGAACGCUGGCGGCGUGCCUAAUACAUGCAAGUAGAACGCUGAAGGAGGAGCUUGCUUCUCUGGAUGAGUUGCGAACGGGUGAGUAACGCGUAGGUAACCUGCCUGGUAGCGGGGGAUAACUAUUGGAAACGAUAGCUAAUACCGCAUAAUAUUGACUAUUGCAUGAUAGUCAGUUGAAAGGUGCAACUGCACCACUACCAGAUGGACCUGCGUUGUAUUAGCUAGUUGGUGGGGUAACGGCUCACCAAGGCGACGAUACAUAGCCGACCUGAGAGGGUGAUCGGCCACACUGGGACUGAGACACGGCCCAGACUCCUACGGGAGGCAGCAGUAGGGAAUCUUCGGCAAUGGACGGAAGUCUGACCGAGCAACGCCGCGUGAGUGAAGAAGGUUUUCGGAUCGUAAAGCUCUGUUGUAAGAGAAGAAACGAGUGUGAGAG
rnacentral:rRNA from 1 species